AAUAUAUUUGAGAAAGAAAUCUUAUUCUACGAAACCAAUUUUUGGCUCCAAAGCAUGCAGUGAGCCUCCAAUAUGUAUGACGGUAUCAAUUCCUAUCGCCAUGAGAGAAGCCAUAGUAUCAGCAAGGCUAGAAAGCGGCUUACCUAGCACUCAAUGGUUUAGUAUCGAUGGUCCCUACACAACAGAGCAAAUAUGUUUGGCGUGUGAGACGAAGACAGAAG